GGGAUCCCCACUUUUGCAUAUAUGGGGAUGGUGGUGACUGUCUCUCGUCGUCAACUGUAAACAAAAUAUGUAAAUGCACCCGUACGCGUGUGGAGAGGGAUCGCACGUGUGGAUGAAAGGAGUAUACCUUGCGGCGGAGUGGAAGAGAGAAGAGAGAGUGGAGACGUCAGCAAGCUAAGCAGCUAAAGUGUGUUUGCUUCACGCAAAGCCAUUUCUGUUUUGUCCUUUGUAUAUUACAAAAAUAUCACAAUCCGCUUUGCCCUUGCUUCCAAGCUUUACCCACUCUAAUUAAUUACUACACUACGAUUACAUGUACAUAUUUAUACAUUCAUUCUCUCUUUA